GACCAGACUCAGACUUGUGUGUGUUGCAUA
rnacentral:piRNA from 1 species